GGCGGGAGCGGAGGGCAACGGGGCGGCGCGGGCGGCCGGGCGCAGGGUCGCGGGAGGUGACGCGCGGCGAGGAUGGCGGCGCGGGGCCGGGGGCUGCUGCUGCUGACGCUGUCGGUGCUGUUGGCGGCGGGCCCCUCCGCCGCUGCGGCCAAGCUCAACAUCCCCAAAGUGCUGCUGCCCUUCACGCGGGCCACGCGCGUUAACUUCACGCUGGAGGCCUCGGAGGGCUGCUACCGCUGGUUGUCCACCCGGCCGGAGGUGGCCAGCAUCGAGCCGCUGGGCCUGGACGAGCAGCAGUGCUCCCAGAAGGCAGUGGUGCAGGCCCGCCUGACCCAGCCUGCCCGCCUCACCAGCAUCAUCUUCGCAGAGGACAUCACCACAGGCCAGGUCCUGCGCUGUGAUGCCAUUGUGGACCUCAUCCAUGACAUCCAGAUCGUCUCCACCACCCGCGAGCUCUACCUGGAGGACUCCCCCCUGGAGCUGAAGAUCCAGGCCCUGGACUCCGAAGGGAACACCUUCAGCACUCUGGCUGGACUGGUCUUCGAGUGGACGAUUGUGAAGGACUCCGAGGCGGACAGGUUCUCAGACUCCCACAAUGCGCUGCGAAUCCUCACUUUCUUGGAGUCUACGUACAUCCCUCCUUCUUACAUCUCAGAGAUGGAGAAGGCUGCCAAGCAAGGGGACACCAUCCUGGUGUCUGGGAUGAAGACCGGGAGCUCCAAGCUCAAGGCUCGCAUCCAGGAGGCUGUCUACAAGAAUGUACGCCCUGCAGAAGUCAGGCUGCUGAUUUUGGAAAACAUCCUUCUGAACCCGGCCUAUGACGUCUACCUGAUGGUGGGAACCUCCAUUCACUACAAGGUGCAGAAGAUCAGGCAAGGGAAAAUUACAGAACUCUCCAUGCCUUCCGAUCAGUACGAGUUGCAGCUUCAGAACAGCAUCCCGGGCCCCGAAGGAGACCCAGCCCGGCCGGUGGCUAUCUUGGCCCAGGACACAUCGAUGGUCACUGCACUGCAGCUGGGACAGAGCAGCCUCGUCCUUGGCCACAGGAGUAUUCGCAUGCAAGGUGCGUCUAGGUUACCCAACAGCACUAUCUACGUGGUCGAACCUGGAUACCUAGGGUUCACCGUUCACCCUGGUGACAGGUGGGUGCUGGAGACCGGCCGCCUGUAUGAAGUCACCAUCGAAGUUUUUGACAAGUUCAGCAACAAGGUCUAUGUAUCUGACAACAUCCGAAUUGAAACCGUGCUUCCUGCUGAGUUCUUCGAGGUGCUCUCGUCCUCCCAGAAUGGGUCAUACCAUCGCAUCAGGGCACUAAAGAGGGGACAGACGGCCAUUGACGCGGCCCUCACCUCUGUGGUGGACCAGGAUGGAGGGGUCCACAUACUACAGGUGCCUGUGUGGAACCAGCAGGAGGUGGAAAUUCACAUCCCGAUCACCCUGUAUCCCAGCAUCUUGACAUUUCCAUGGCAACCAAAGACGGGCACCUAUCAGUACACAAUAAAGGCCCACGGUGGCAGUGGGAACUUCAGCUGGUCUUCAUCAAGCUACCUGGUUGCCACAGUUACUGUCAAGGGCGUGAUGACCACAGGCAGUGACAUCGGGUUCAGUGUGAUCCAGGCACAUGAUGUGCAGAACCCACUCCAUUUCGGUGAGAUGAAGGUGUAUGUGAUCGAGCCCCACAGCAUGGAGUUUGCCCCGUGCCAGGUGGAGGCACGUGUGGGCCAGGCCCUGGAGCUGCCCCUGAGGAUCAGUGGCCUCAUGCCCGGCGGGGCCAGCGAGGUGGUCACCUUGAGCGACUGCUCCCACUUUGACUUGGCUGUCGAGGUGGAGAACCAGGGUGUGUUCCAGCCACUCCCAGGGAGGCUGCCGCCAGGCUCUGAGCACUGCAGCGGCGUCCGGGUAAAGGCCGAGGCCCAGGGCUCUACCACGCUUCUUGUGAGCUACAGACACGGCCACGUCCACCUGAGUGCCAAGAUCACCAUUGCUGCCUACCUGCCCCUCAAGGCUGUGGAUCCCUCCUCUGUUGCCUUGGUAACCCUGGGCUCCUCAAAGGAGAUGCUGUUUGAAGGAGGUCCCAGACCUUGGAUCCUCGAGCCGUCCAAAUUCUUCCAGAACGUCACUGCUGAGGACACUGACAGCAUCGGCCUGGCUCUCUUUGCCCCCCAUUCCUCCCGGAAUUAUCAGCAACACUGGAUCCUUGUGACCUGUCAGGCCUUGGGUGAGCAGGUCAUCGCCCUGUCGGUGGGGAACAAGCCCAGCCUCACCAACCCCUUUCCUGCGGUGGAGCCUGCCGUGGUGAAGUUCGUCUGCGCCUCACCGUCCAGGCUCACCCUCGCGCCUGUCUACACCAGCCCCCAGCUGGACGUGUCCUGUCCGCUGCUGCAGCAGAACAAGCAGGUGGUCCCAGUGUCCAGCCACCGCAACCCCCUGCUGGACCUGGCUGCUUACGACCAGGAGGGCCGCCGGUUCGACAACUUCAGCUCUCUGAGCAUCCAGUGGGAGUCCACCAGGCCAGUGUUGGCCAGCAUCGAGCCUGAGCUGCCCAUGCAGCUGGUGUCCCAGGACGAUGAGAGUGGCCAAAAGAAGCUGCACGGUUUGCAGGCCAUUUUGGUUCACGAGGCAUCAGGAACCACAGCCAUCACUGCCACUGCCACUGGCUACCAGGAGUCCCACCUCAGCUCUGCCAGAACAAAGCAGCCGCAUGACCCUCUGGUGCCUCUGUCGGCCUCCAUAGAGCUCAUCCUGGUGGAGGACGUGAGGGUGAGCCCAGAAGAGGUGACCAUCUACAACCACCCUGGCAUCCAGGCAGAGCUCCGCAUCAGAGAAGGCUCAGGUUACUUCUUCCUCAACACCAGCACCGCAGAUGUAGUCAAGGUGGCCUACCAGGAGGCCAGGGGUGUCGCCAUGGUGCACCCUUUGCUCCCGGGCUCAUCCACCAUCAUGAUCCAUGACUUGUGCCUCGUCUUCCCGGCCCCAGCCAAGGCUAUCGUUUACGUGUCGGACAUUCAGGAGCUGUACAUCCGUGUGGUUGACAAGGUGGAGAUUGGGAAGACAGUGAAGGCAUACGUCCGCGUGCUGGACUUGCACAAGAAGCCCUUCCUGGCCCAAUACUUCCCCUUCAUGGACCUGAAGCUCCGAGCAGCCUCCCCGAUCAUUACACUGGUGGCCCUUGAUGAAGCCCUUGACAACUACACCAUCACAUUCCUUAUCCGCGGUGUGGCCAUCGGCCAGACCAGUCUAACUGCAAGUGUGACCAAUAAAGCCGGACAGAGAAUCAACUCAGCCCCACAACAGAUUGAAGUCUUUCCCCCGUUCAGGCUGAUGCCCAGGAAGGUGACACUGCUUAUCGGGGCCACGAUGCAGGUCACCUCCGAGGGCGGCCCCCAGCCUCAGUCCAACAUCCUUUUCUCCAUCAGCAAUGAGAGCGUUGCGCUGGUGAGCGCUGCUGGGCUGGUACAGGGCCUCGCCGUCGGGAACGGCACUGUGUCUGGGCUCGUGCAGGCAGUGGAUGCAGAGACCGGCAAGGUGGUCAUCAUCUCUCAGGACCUCGUGCAGGUGGAGGUGCUGCUGCUACGGGCCGUGAGGAUCCGUGCCCCCAUCAUGCGGAUGAGGACGGGCACCCAGAUGCCCAUCUAUGUCACCGGCAUCACCAACCACCAGAACCCUUUCUCCUUUGGCAAUGCCGUGCCAGGCCUGACCUUCCACUGGUCUGUCACCAAGCGGGACGUCCUAGACCUCCGAGGGCGGCACCACGAGGCGUCGAUCCGACUCCCGUCACAGUACAACUUUGCCAUGAACGUGCUCGGCCGGGUAAAAGGCCGGACCGGGCUGAGGGUGGUGGUCAAGGCUGUGGACCCCACAUCGGGGCAGCUGUAUGGCCUGGCCAGAGAACUCUCGGAUGAGAUCCAAGUCCAGGUGUUUGAGAAGCUGCAGCUGCUCAACCCUGAAAUAGAAGCAGAACAAAUAUUAAUGUCGCCCAACUCAUAUAUAAAGCUGCAGACAAACAGGGAUGGUGCAGCCUCUCUGAGCUACCGCGUCCUGGAUGGACCCGAAAAGGUUCCAGUUGUGCAUGUUGAUGAGAAAGGCUUUCUAGCAUCAGGGUCUAUGAUCGGGACAUCCACCAUCGAAGUGAUUGCACAAGAGCCCUUUGGGGCCAACCAAACCAUCAUUGUUGCUGUAAAGGUAUCCCCUGUUUCCUACCUGAGGGUUUCCAUGAGCCCUGUCCUGCACACCCAGAACAAGGAGGCCCUGGUGGCCGUGCCUUUGGGAAUGACCGUGACCUUCACUGUCCACUUCCACGACAACUCUGGAGAUGUCUUCCAUGCUCACAAUUCGGUCCUCAACUUUGCCACUAACAGAGACGACUUUGUGCAGAUCGGGAAGGGCCCCACCAACAACACCUGCGUUGUCCGCACAGUCAGCGUGGGCCUGACACUGCUCCGUGUGUGGGACGCAGAGCACCCGGGCCUCUCGGACUUCGUGCCCCUGCCUGUCCUACAGGCCAUCUCCCCAGAACUGUCCGGGGCCAUGGUGGUGGGGGACGUGCUCUGUCUGGCCACUGUUCUGACCAGCCUGGAAGGCCUCUCAGGAACCUGGAGCUCCUCGGCCAACAGCAUCCUCCACAUCGACCCCAAGACGGGUGUGGCUGUGGCCCGGGCCGUGGGAUCCGUGACGGUUUACUAUGAGGUCGCUGGGCACCUGAGGACCUACAAGGAGCAAGGCGUUUAGGCUUUGAGCCUCAGUGUUGCCACCUGUGAAACGGGUGACACUAUGUCACAGACUGCACGGUGAGGUUGUGGAAACGCCCAGCAUGGACCGGGACACAGGCGGCGCUCCAUGAAGCUUCCUUGGCUCCCUCUCUAGGUGGUGGUCGGCGUCCCUCAGAGGAUCAUGGCCCGUCACCUCCACCCCAUCCAGACCAGCUUCCAGGAGGCUACAGCCUCCAAAGUGAUUGUUGCCGUGGGAGACAGAAGCUCUAACCUGAGAGGCGAGUGCACCCCCACCCAGAGGGAAGUCAUCCAGGCCUUGCACCCAGAGACCCUCAUCAGCUGCCAGUCCCAGUUCAAGCCGGCCGUCUUUGAUUUCCCAUCUCAAGAUGUGUUCACCGUGGAGCCACAGUUUGACACUGCCCUUGGCCAGUACUUCUGUUCAAUCACAAUGCACAGGCUGACGGACAAGCAACGGAAGCACCUGAGCAUGAAGAAGACAGCUCUGGUGGUCAGUGCCUCCCUCUCCAGCAGCCACUUCUCCACAGAGCAGGUGGGGGCCGAGGUGCCCUUCAGCCCAGGUCUCUUCGCCGACCAGGCUGAAAUCCUUUUGAGCAACCACUACACCAGCUCCGAGGUCAGGGUCUUUGGUGCCCCGGAGGUUCUGGAGAACUUGGAGGUGAAAUCCGGGUCCCCGGCUGUGCUGGCAUUCGCAAAGGAGAAGUCUCUUGGGUGGCCCAGCUUCAUCACAUACACGGUCGGCGUCUCAGACCCCGCGGCCGGCAGCCAAGGGCCUCUGUCCACUACCCUGACCUUCUCCAGCCCCGUGACCAACCAAGCCAUUGCCAUCCCAGUGACAGUGGCUUUUGUGAUGGAUCGCCGUGGGCCCGGUCCUUAUGGAACCAGCCUCUUUCAGCACUUCCUGGAUUCCUACCAGGUCAUGUUCUUCACGCUCUUUGCCCUGUUGGCUGGGACGGCGGUCAUGAUCAUAGCCUACCACACUGUCUGCACGCCCCGGGAUCUUGCUGUGCCUGCAGCCCUCACGCCUCGAGCCAGCCCUGGACACAGCCCCCACUAUUUCGCUGCCUCAUCACCCACAUCUCCCAAUGCACUGCCUCCUGCUCGCAAAGCCAGCCCUCCCUCAGGGCUGUGGAGCCCAGCCUAUGCCUCCCACUAGGCUGUGUGAAGGUUCCCGGAGGAUGGGUCUCAGCCGAGCCUCGUGCGCCCCCAAGAUGGAACAUCCCUGCUGCAUUCACACUGGAACAAGCCCCUCCAGACGAGUGCCCCGGCCCCAGGCCAGCUUCACUGCCGUCUCUUCACACAGAGCUGUAGUUUCGGCUCUGCCCAUUAGCUCAUUUUAUGUAGAAGUUUUAAAUGUGUGUUUUUUUCCUUUCAAGUCUUACAAAGCUAAGACUUUUUGGCUCAUUCCUUUUUGCAUGGUUGUCUAGGGUUUCUGGACAAUGUGCUGUUGCAUUUUUAUUUUCCUAGCCUUGCUAAAAUCUCUCCCUUCUCAAGACUUUGAGCAGUUAGAAGUGCUCCUUAGAAGUUGUCUGUGGGUGAUGUUACUGUAGUGGUCUCAGGGAAAGGACUGUCCAGUUACUUUAGGGGGUUUUUGGUGGGGUUUUUCCCCUGUGAAAACUUACUUUUCUCCUAGUCUGGCUGCUGCUAGGACUUCUGAGGAGCAAUGGGACAUGAGUGUCCCUGUAUCUGCCCCACUGCUGCAAGGGAAGCCUCAGGAACCAGCACCUGGAGGCCAGGGAUAGCCAAGCCCUGGGUGAGCGAGAGGCUGGAGAACACAGGAGCUCACCCAGGGCUGCUGCCCAACCAUGGGCCACUGUGAACAGACUUCAGUCCUCUGUUUUUGUUUCAUAAGCCAUUGAGACAUCUGAUGGACUUGGCUUAGGCCCUGCUGGGACAUCCCACGUGUGAUCCCUUUCACUCCAUCAGGACACCAGGACUGUCCUUAGGAAAAUGUCCUUGAGAUGGCAGCAGGAGUCAUAUUUUCUGUGUGUGUGUUUCGGAAAGCCGCUGUGUCCUGCCUCAGCACAAAGACCCAGUGUCAUUUGCUCCUCCUGUUCCUGUGCCACUCCAGAACCUCAGCAGAUCUGAGCCACCGCCUGCCAGUGUGAGAGGCGGCCACUUUCAUGGCAGCUCAUCAGGCGCAGGGCCCCAGACAGCUUCCCAGCAGGCCCUAGAGCCCGGCCUGGGCCAAUGAUGGAGGGCGGCCACCAGCCCAGGGCCUGCCCAUCCAGAAGGGACUCCCCAGGGCCUGGGGGAGGAGACCCUUGGAAAAGUCCUCUCUUCCCAGCUCCUGAUUCUGGAUCUGAGAUUCUCAGAUCACAGGCCCCUGUGCUCCAGGCCGAGGCUGGGCCACCCUCAGGGAGAUCCAGAGACUCAUGCCCAUGGCCAUCCAUGCGUGGACGCUGUGUGGAGAGUCCAGGAUGACGGGAUCCCGCACAAGCUCCCUUCAGUCCUUCAGGGCUGGGCCAUGUGGUUGAUUUUUCUAAAGCUGGAGAAAGGAAGAAUUGUGCCUUGCAUAUUACUUGAGCUUAAACUGACAACCUGGAUGUAAAUAGGAGCCUUUCUACUUGGUUUAUUUAAUAAAGUUCUAUGUGAUUUUUUAA